rnacentral:rRNA from 1 species
AGAGUUUGAUUCUGGCUCAGAUUGAACGCUGGCGGAAUGCUUUACACAUGCAAGUCGAACGGCAGCACGGGUGCUUGCACCUGGUGGCGAGUGGCGAACGGGUGAGUAAUGCGUCGGAACGUACCGAGUAAUGGGGGAUAACGCGGCGAAAGUCGCGCUAAUACCGCAUACGCCCUGAGGGGGAAAGUGGGGGAUCGCAAGACCUCACGUUAUUCGAGCGGCCGACGUCUGAUUAGCUAGUUGGUGGGGUAAAGGCCUACCAAGGCGACGAUCAGUAGCGGGUCUGAGAGGAUGAUCCGUCACACUGGGACUGAGACACGGCCCAGACUCCUACGGGAGGCAGCAGUGGGGAAUUUUGGACAAUGGGGGCAACCCUGAUCCAGCCAUUCCGCGUGAGUGAAGAAGGCCUUCGGGUUGUAAAGCUCUUUCAGCUGGAACGAAACGGUACGCUCUAACAUAGCGUGCUAAUGACGGUACCGGCAGAAGAAGCACCGGCUAACUACGUGCCAGCAGCCGCGGUAAUACGUAGGGUGCGAGCGUUAAUCGGAAUUACUGGGCGUAAAGCGUGCGCAGGCGGAUUGUUAAGCAAGACGUGAAAGCCCCGGGCUUAACCUGGGAAUGGCGUUUUGAACUGGCAGUCUAGAGUGCGUCAGAGGGGGGUGGAAUUCCACGUGUAGCAGUGAAAUGCGUAGAGAUGUGGAGGAACACCAAUGGCGAAGGCAGCCCCCUGGGAUGACACUGACGCUCAUGUACGAAAGCGUGGGUAGCAAACAGGAUUAGAUACCCUGGUAGUCCACGCCCUAAACGAUGUCAACUGGUUGUUGGGGGGAGUGAAAUCCCUUAGUAACGAAGCUAACGCGUGAAGUUGACCGCCUGGGGAGUACGGUCGCAAGAUUAAAACUCAAA